AGUUCCAGUAAAUGGGGCAGGCCGCCUUGGAACAUCCUUCAAUGUGUUUGUCUUUUGCGAACAAUUUCCUAGAUGUUGACCGACAAAUGUGUACGUACAAACAACACUCACGCACACAGCAUGCACAAUUCAAUGCUGGUAAGUAUAAGAGAUGAGCUCACAUAAUUGUUCUGUAUCGUUUCCUCAUGAUUUAUUCAUUUAGCCGGAAGAAGCUUUUGAAUUACCUCCACGUCAUCGUAUGGUUUGAUUUUGAAUGCAGAUCGAUCAGUGAUGAAGGAUACAAUUGAUCACAUCGUUUGAUCUCUUAUUCAUGAUACACAUGGUUUACACACACACACACACACACACACACACAUACUGUAGCCUAUAUGCACAUGCUCAAAACUGAAUGCCUGGCUCUGCACACAUAUAAAGACAUACGCACAGGACAUAUUCAAGCGCACACACACACACACACACACCUCAGCCCUUAGCAGAAGGAGCUCAUGACAAUCCCCUCACCUUUUCACAUGCACAGGGAUGAAUAUCCAAAAAGGAAAUUCAUUACAUGUGGGGUUGACGUACACAAGCUGCGCACAAAAAACACAGCCAAACCCUUACACACACGAUGAGAGCAAUUGGAAAGUCAACACACACACACACACACACACACACACACACACACACACAAGAAUAUGUAAAUCCAAACGCACACACACACACACACACUCAUCCAUUCAAUCAGCUCCCGGCUAACACAGCGAACACGUGACCUAAGCCGUGUGGCAUUUUAGCGCGGCGACUCACUGCCCCUACAGCACAUUGAUUGAGUACGGUCUUCUCUUAAUCCUCCUCCUCCUCCUCCUCUUCUUCAGAGGGUCUGAGGAGGAGCGGACGUCAGCGGUUGCCACGGGAUCCCGACGCACGGUCAAUAUGGAACCCCGACUAAUCCACACUGGAGCGUGCCAGGGACCAAGGGAACGCUUCUUCUUUGCCUUUUCAUUUAGCUUGUCCAUGCAUUAUUCACCCAAACAAACGUGUGUUGUUGCCAUGCAGCCGUGGCGGAUUCUGUCUCAUCACAACAAUUUAAAUUAGCUCAACACAUUCAAUAGGUGACGCGCAAGCCUGACCCAGAGUACACGCGGCAAUCACCAAACCCAGUGUGUGUGUGUGUGUGUGUGUGUGUGUGUGUGUGUGUGUAUGGUGGUGCAUGUGGAAUCACAGGCCGAGGUAAAGUGGUCUGGUCACAUGGGUGCAGGCCAUCAGGCUUCACAAUGUAAGGGCACGGGUAUCGCUGGAUGUGUGUUUGUGGGUGUGUGCCAUGUUGAGUGUGUAUUUAACGUUUGUACUUGUGUGUGUGUGAACCCACUGCAGUACAGGACAUUGUGUGUAUAUAUGUGUGGAUGUGUGGAUGUGCAUGUGUGUGCAUGCUGGCAUGUUUAUAUAUUUGAGACGUCUACUUCUCUUUAGCAACACAAACUUGGCAGGCACUGGAGCAGAAAACACACAAUAUAUAUUCUUUCUUUAGUUUCACAGGUUAUUGGAAAGAAAGCGAUCCGUCUUGAUGGGACUUGGAGAUUUGCCUUGAAAGUUGAAAGUACGACUGAAGCCCC